GUUUGUUAGGAUAGACUUCCUCCAACCUGGAACUAUAUCCUCCAGUCCACGCGGUGGCGGUAACGCGCCUAACAGCUGCGUCUCCGACCAGUAGAAAUCACAGAAGAAGAAAAAGCUGCAGCGGGUAUCUCCUGAGCAGUUGAGUUAUUACACCGAACUAAUCAUCUCCAGAUUAAAUUAUUUCUGACAGUUUUACAGUUAGAUUUGAUCCAGUUUAAAAGUAAAAGCUGGUUAUUUUGUCUGUGUUUGUGGAAUUAAAACUCCGUUCUGUUUUUAAACCCGAGUGUCCAAAGCCCAGGCUGACCCCCCACCCCUUCAACCUUUGCAGCAAUGCUGGCAGCACUAUUUCCCAAAGACAACCUCUGGAUAUGACGCUGAGCAUGUGCACUCAACUUCUUUGGUCGACCAUGGCGAGGCCUGUUCUGAGUGGAACCUGUCCUGUUAAACCGCUGUAUGGUCUUGGCCACUGUGCUGCAGCUCAGUGUCAGUGCCCAAAGCCCGUGGUGGUGGCAGUGCAUGGUGUGUGUGUGGGAGCAGGUCUGUUGGGAGUGUUAAGUACCAUCAUCUCAUACACUCAGCAAACAAUAUGGAUGGAACUUUCCAGAGUUGUGGUGUCACUUUCCUGCAAAGCUUUAACCAUCAGAGAGUUAUCUUUUACUGGGGCUUUUAGCUGCAGGAGACUGAAUUACUAACAGUUUUUUUUUUGUGGAUGUGAUUUCUUAUUUCGCAGGAGUGGAUCUAAUCACAGCCUGUGAUAUUCGUCUGUGCACACAGGAUGCCUGGUUUCAGGUGAAGUCGUGUGUUCCCUGAUAGUCAAUGAUUGCUGGAGCUCUGGAAAUAGCAGGUGAGAUUGCAGGCCGGAGUCCCGUCGCUGUCCAGGGAACCAAAAUCAACCUCCUCUACUCCUGAGACCACAGUGUAACUGAGAGCCUAGACUACAUGGCUACUUGGAACAUGAACAUGUUGCAGACACAGGAUCUUAUGAAGUCAGCCCAGGCAGCCCUGGAAAAGAAGAGUCCGAAAGACGUGCCCUUCUCCAAGCUUUAAAGGAGAAGAUCCAGGGCUGUUGAAGCUGUGGUGGAACUAAGACUUCAUCAUCCACAUAUCUUCAGUUCUUCUUGCUAAGUCUGUUUCUUUUUAGUCUUUUUAUUUUUAGACUGGUCAAAAGACCGAUUAGUGGAAGUGAAAUGAUAGAUGAACUUUUAAUUACUUGCUUUAUUAUUUGCAGGUGCUUUGUACAGUAAGACAGGGUAACUAAUACUCAAAAGCUUGUUUUGUGUGUUAACAUGUACAGUAGAUGUACAUAUUUCUUCUGGUCCUGUGUGACUGCAGAAUGUAGUGCAAUUAACACAGUAAAUUUCCUUGGAUGCUCACUUUUAACUCGAGGAGGUCACAGUUUGCCCAGACAUCUUUUUUUAAAUCCGUCAAUCCGUCACCCACACGUCAUUCUGGGGGACAAAGAGGAGGAAGCUGGACUGAUAAAUUUAUUUAUUUAUUUAUCAUUGCUGUUUUUCCUCAAUCGAGUGCAGAAAGAAGAGAAACAACACAACUGAUUUAAAAUAAAAAUAUAGAAAACAAUCUAAUGUAAAGUUCUGAUCCGGUUUGCUUUCAGCAGGAAGGCUGUCCUCUUUCCUGUUGCUCUUUCCCUUCCAUUAGUCCAUUUGUUGAGUCUGAAUCGGUUUGAUUCAUUUCGAGACGAUUCGGAGUCAAAUAAUUUUCUAGUGAGCGUCGAACACUUCCAAACGAACUAGACUGAGAUGAGUAUUUGAUUCUCACUAGAAAGUGAUUCGACUCUGAAUCAACUCGAAAUGAAUCAGUCAAACUGAUUCAGACUCGAUAAAAGGACUAUGAGAUGUGAUUAAGAUAUAUAUUCCAAUGUUUUGCUUUACAAUUCCACUGUGUGUGUGUGUGCGCGCACGUGUGUUUUUCAGGAGAACGAGAAACUCGGACACAACAGUACAUCCUGACCAUUGGUACUGUGUACACAUCAACAUACACACACGUCUCCAUGCUGGACAUCUCAGGAGCUUUCACACACAGUGCUAGGAAUAUCACGGGACAGAGAAACGCACCUCCAAAGUGAGCGAGUUUAGUGUCAACCGGUGAAAUUUGCUGUAGCGUGAACGCUUCGCCUCUGAACAGAAAUGAUCUUUCGAGGCAGCUUCUUCAUCACUACCUGCUCUGUUUGACUCAAAAAUGUAACGACCGGUUUCAAAAAGUCACGAUGUCUUCAGUUCAUGUGAUUUUACUGUUGAAUUUAAACAGGAAAUGUGAAAUAUUUUUGUUCCUUUGUUUCCUCUACUGUCUUUUUGCUGUGAUCUUGAACACAGUUGUAAUUUUUUUUAAAUAAUAAAUAAAUUAUCGUUCUAUUCUUUCUCACUUUCCUUGUCCUAAUUGUCCUGUAUCUGUUCAAUCCGUUUCAUCUCUGGUCUUUCUGUCUGUAUGAACACUUGUAGAAAUGACUUGUAGUCCAUAUUUUUAAAUGAUUCAUGAUUUUGAAUUUAAAUAAAGAUAUUCUUUAA